UGCCGGGAGAUUCGGGGCCCAACCUCCCACCCGUGUUGCCCGAACCUAUGUUGCCUCGGCGGGCCCCGCGCCCGCCGACGGCCCCCCUGAACGCUGUCUGAAGUUGCAGUCUGAGACCUAUAACGAAAUUAGUUAAAACUUUCAACAACGGAUCUCUUGGUUCCGGCAUCGAUGAAGAACGCAGCGAAAUGCGAUAACUAAUGUGAAUUGCAGAAUUCAGUGAAUCAUCGAGUCUUUGAACGCACAUUGCGCCCUCUGGUAUUCCGGAGGGCAUGCCUGUCCGAGCGUCAUUGCUGCCCUCAAGCCCGGCUUGUGUGUUGGGCCCCGUCCCCCCCGCCGGGGGGACGGGCCCGAAAGGCAGCGGCGGCACCGCGUCCGGUCCUCGAGCGUAUGGGGCUUCGUCACCCGCUCUAGUAGGCCCGGCCGGCGCCAGCCGACCCCCAACCUUUAAUUAUCUCAGGUUGACCUCGGAUCAGGUAGGGAUACCCGCUGAACUUAA
rnacentral:rRNA from 1 species